CUACGGGGCGCUGCAGUCGAGAAUAGUCUACAAUGGACGAAAGUCUGAUAGUGCGACGCCGCGUGGAUGAAGAAGCAUUUCGGUGUGUAAAGUCCUUUUCUGUGUGAGCAAUGUUUUCCAGGUUAAUAGCUUGGAGAAAGCGAUAUUAACACAGGAAUAAGCUCCGGCUAACUCCGUGCCAGCAGCCGCGGUAACACGGGGGGAGCAAGCGUUGUCCGGAAUUACUAGGCGCAAAGGGUAAGUAGGCGGAAUUGUAAGUCAGAUGUUAAAGGCACCGGCUCAACCGGUGUAUGGCAUUUGAUACUGUAAUUCUAGAGUAAGGUGGGGGAAGACGGAAUUCCUGGUGUAGCGGUGGAAUGCGCAGAUAUCAGGAGGAACACCAGAGGCGCAGGCGGUCUUCUAUACCAUUACUGACGCUCAAUUACGAAGGUGUGGGUAUCAAACAGGAUUAGAUACCCUAGUAGUC
rnacentral:rRNA from 1 species